GACGAACGCUGGCGGCGUGCUUAACACAUGCAAGUCGAACGGAAAGGCCCUGCUUUUGUGGGGUGCUCGAGUGGCGAACGGGUGAGUAACACGUGAGUAACCUGCCCUUGACUUUGGGAUAACUUCAGGAAACUGGGGCUAAUACCGGAUAGGAGCUCCUGCUGCAUGGUGGGGUUGGAAAGUUUCGGCGGUUGGGGAUGGACUCGCGGCUUAUCAGCUUGUUGGUGGGGGAGGGGCUUACCAAGGCUUUGACGGGUAGCCGGCCUGAGAGGGUGACCGGCCACAUUGGGACUGAGAUACGGCCCAGACUCCUACGGGAGGCAGCAGUGGGGAAUAUUGCACAAUGGGCGGAAGCCUGAUGCAGCAACGCCGCGUGCGGGAUGACGGCCUUCGGGUUGUAAACCGCUUUCGCCUGUGACGAAGCGUGAGUGACGGUAAUGGGUAAAGAAGCACCGGCUAACUACGUG
rnacentral:rRNA from 1 species